UACGUAGGGGGCAAGCGUUGUCCGGAUUUAUUGGGCGUAAAGAGCGUGUAGGCGGUCAGGUAGGUCCGUUGUGAAAACUCGAGGCUCAACCUCGAGACGCCGAUGGAAACCAUCUGACUAGAGUCCGGAAGAGGAGAGUGGAAUUCCUGGUGGUAGCGGUGAAAUGCGCAGAUAUCAGGAAGAACACCCGUGGCUAAGGCGGCUCUCUAGUACGGUACUGACGCUGAGACGCGAAAAGCGUGGGGAGCGAACAGG
rnacentral:rRNA from 1 species